UACGUACCGUCCAAACGUUAUUCGGUAUCACUGGGCUUAAAGCGUUCGUAGGCGGCCUAGAAGGUGAGGUGUGAAAGCCCACGGCUCAACCGUGGAAUUGCGCUUCAAACCACUAGGCUUGAGGAAGACAGGGGUGGAGGGAACUUAUGGUGGAGCGGUGAAAUGCGUUGAUAUCAUAGGGAACACCGGUGGCGAAAGCGCUUCACUGGGUCUUUGCUGACGCUGAGGAACGAAAGCUAGGGUAGCGAACGGG
rnacentral:rRNA from 1 species